AGUGAACGCUGGUGGUAGGCCUAACACAUGCAAGUCGAACGGCAGCACAGAGGAGCUUGCUCCUUGGGUGGCGAGUGGCGGACGGGUGAGGAAUACAUCGGAAUCUACUCUGUCGUGGGGGAUAACGUAGGGAAACUUACGCUAAUACCGCAUACGACCUACGGGUGAAAGCAGGGGACCUUCGGGCCUUGCGCGAUUGAAUGAGCCGAGGUCGGAUUAGCUAGUUGGCGGGGUAAAGGCCCACCAAGGCGACGAUCCGUAGCUGGUCUGAGAGGAUGAUCGGCCACACUGGAACUGAGACACGGUCCAGACUCCUACGGGAGGCAGCAGUGGGGAAUAUUGGACAAUGGGCGCAUGCCUGAUCCAGCCAUACCGCGUGGGUGAAGAGGGCCUUCGGGUUGUAAAGCCCUUUUGUUGGGAAAGAAAUCCAGCUGGCUAAUACCCGGUUGGGAUGACGGUACCCAAAGAAUAAGCACCGGCUAACUUCGUGCCAGCAGCCGCCGUAA
rnacentral:rRNA from 1 species